UGGGGAAUAUUGCACAAUGGGCGCAAGCCUGAUGCAGCCAUGCCGCGUGUAUGAAGAAGGCCUUCGGGUUGUAAAGUACUUUCAGCGGGGAGGAAGGUGUUGUGGUUAAUAACCACAGCAAUUGACGUUACCCGCAGAAGAAGCACCGGCUAACUCCGUGCCAGCAGCCGCGGUAAUACGGAGGGUGCAAGCGUUAAUCGGAAUUACUGGGCGUAAAGCGCACGCAGGCGGUCUGUCAAGUCGGAUGUGAAAUCCCCGGGCUCAACCUGGGAACUGCAUCCGAAACUGGCAGGCUUGAGUCUUGUAGAGGGGGGUAGAAUUCCAGGUGUAGCGGUGAAAUGCGUAGAGAUCUGGAGGAAUACCGGUGGCGAAGGCGGCCCCCUGGACAAAGACUGACGCUCAGGUGCAAAAGCGUGGGGAGCAAACA
rnacentral:rRNA from 1 species